ensembl:lncRNA
AUCCUUCAGUGUUUGCGUAUCCUGGAGUGUCAAUGAUGGUCAGAGAUGUUGGGUUUUCUUCAACAAACACCUCAUAAACAGUGAUCGCAGAUGUCUGGGUUAAUGACUCUUCUAUAUCAUCAUCUUCUUCUGUGAGUUGGUAAAACUCUUCAUCCUCAAACUUCACUCCUAUCUGUAAAGUGCUGGAGGACCUGAAUUUAUGAUAUGAUCUACAAAAGAGAAAUCUAAUUUAGAAAUCAACUUAUGGCAAGCUCACACUACAGGAUUUUUAGCUGGAUUUUGCUGUCACGGACAGAUUUCCAGAGUCUGCGACACAUCCCUCGGAUCACGACCAAAUCGGUGCUCGUUGUGGUCACCGAAGCGACCAAACGGAGCAAGGCCGAUCAAAUUAAACUUACAUUGUCUUCAAGGGAGAAUGCAGGUGGUCCUAGGUGCUGGUUGACGGGGCUGAAGACAGGUAGAACACAGGUUUCGGAGGGUGUGUUGAGAAAUCCCGGCAGCUUUCAGUGAAGCGUGAAUGGAGGCUUGUAUCGCUUUAGAGCAAUGACAUCAUUGAUGACAUCUGAAGCCUCGCUUGACCAGAUUGGAUCAGGAAGUUUACAAAUCUUGUAAAUUCACAGUCCUCUGCCCCAUUAAAUCCAGUCACUUUCCAGUUUUAGACUAAUGAUAUUGCCCCUCCUGCCUAUUAUGAGCAAAGACUUGAUUUACACACAUGCGAUAGCCCCAUACAUUUCAAGCCAAUAUGUUUA